rnacentral:rRNA from 1 species
AUGGGGUGCAGCAGGCGCGGAACCUCCGCAAUACACGAAAGUGUGACGGGGUUACCCAAAGUGUUCAUUUAUGAACUGUGGUAGGUGAGUAAUGUCCCCUACUAGAAAGGAGAGGGCAAGGCUGGUGCCAGCCGCCGCGGUAAAACCAGCUCUUCAAGUGGUCGGGAUAAUUAUUGGGCUUAAAGUGUCCGUAGCCGGUUUAGUAAGUUCCUGGUAAAAUCAGGUAGCCUAACUAUCUGCAUGCUAGGAAUACUGCUAUACUAGAGGGCGGGAGAGGUCUGAGGUACUACAGGGGUAGGGGUGAAAUCUUAUAAUCCUUGUAGGACCACCAGUGGCGAAGGCGUCAGACUGGAACGUGCCUGACGGUGAGGGACGAAAGCCAGGGGAGCGAACCGGAUUAGAUACCCGGGUAGUCCUGGCCGUAAACGAUGCAUACUAGGUGAUGGCAUGGCCAUGAGCCGUGUCAGUGCCGUAGGGAAACCGUUAAGUGUGCCGCCUGGGAAGUACGGUCGCAAGAUUGAAACUUAAAGGAAUUGGCGGGGGAGCAC